rnacentral:rRNA from 1 species
UUACCCUACCUGGGGAAUGGCUUGGCUUGAAACGCCGAUGAAGGACGUGGUAAGCUGCGAUAAGCCUAGGCGAGGCGCAUACAGCCUUU